GGAUGCCCAGCUAGUUUUGAGUUUUAGUUAAACAACAAAUUAUUUUUUUCAGUGUGUGUCCCAUGCAUUUAUUUGGGACAUACUUAUACUGAAAAAUAAUUUGUUGUUUAACUGAUAUUCAGAAUUAA
rnacentral:miRNA from 1 species